UACGUAGGGGGCAAGCGUUGUCCGGAUUUAUUGGGCGUAAAGAGCGUGUAGGCGGUUUGGUAGGUCCGUUGUGAAACUCGAGGCUACAACCGUCGAGACCGCCGAUGGAAACCAUCAGACUAGAGUCCGGAAGAGGAGAGUGGAAUUCCUGGUGUAGCGGUGAAAUGCGCAGAUAUCAGGAAGAACACCCGUGGCUAAGGCGGCUCUCUAGUACGGUACUGACGCUGAGACGCGAAAGCGUGGGGAGCGAACAGG
rnacentral:rRNA from 1 species